rnacentral:rRNA from 1 species
AGUUUGAUCCUGGCUCAGAUUGAACGCUGGCGGCAUGCCUUACACAUGCAAGUCGAACGGUAACAGGUCUUCGGAUGCUGACGAGUGGCGAACGGGUGAGUAAUACAUCGGAACGUGCCCGAUCGUGGGGGAUAACGAAGCGAAAGCUUUGCUAAUACCGCAUACGAUCUACGGAUGAAAGCAGGGGACCGCAAGGCCUUGCGCGAACGGAGCGGCCGAUGGCAGAUUAGGUAGUUGGUGGGAUAAAAGCUUACCAAGCCGACGAUCUGUAGCUGGUCUGAGAGGACGACCAGCCACACUGGGACUGAGACACGGCCCAGACUCCUACGGGAGG